CGGGUGAGUAACACGUGGGUGAUCUGCCCCUUACUUUGGGAUAAGCCUGGGAAACUGGGUCUAAUACUGGAUAGGACCAUGCUGUAGGUGGUGUGGUGGAAAGAUUAGUUUCGGUAAGGGAUGAGCUCGCGGCCUAUCAGCUUGUUGGUGGGGUAAUGGCCUACCAAGGCGUCGACGGGUAGCCGGCCUGAGAGGGUGGACGGCCACAUUGGGACUGAGAUAUGGCCCAGACUCCUACGGGAGGCAGCAGUGGGGAAUAUUGCACAAUGGGCGCAAGCCUGAUGCAGCGACGCCGCGUGGGGGAUGACGGCCUUCGGGUUGUAAACUCCUUUCAGCCAUGACGAAGCCUUCGGGUGACGGUAGUGGUAGAAGAAGCACCGGCUAACUACGUGCCAGCAGCCGCGGUAAUACGUAGGGUGCGAGCGUUGUCCGGAAUUACUGGGCGUAAAGAGCUCGUAGGUGGUCUGUCGCGUCAUUUGUGAAAGCCCGGGGCUUAACUCCGGGUUGGCAGGUGAUACGGGCAUGACUGGAGUACUGUAGGGGAGACUGGAAUUCCUGGUGUAGCGGUGAAAUGCGCAGAUAUCAGGAGGAACACCGGUGGCGAAGGCGGGUCUCUGGGCAGUAACUGACGCUGAGGAGCGAAAGCAUGGGUAGCGA
rnacentral:rRNA from 1 species